UGAUGAUUAUAAUGAUCGCGGUGUUGAUGGUGUUGGUGGUGAUAAUGAAUGAAGAUGGUGUUGRUGAUGUUGAUACUGUUACAGCGAUGAUGAUGAUGGUUGUGAUGAUGUAAUAUUAGCAUUAUUUUUACUGUUACAAACAGGUUUAGACAAGAAAACUCGAGKCCUUCAACGAGAAGAAAAGAAAACCGUAGCGUACCAUGAGAGAGGACACAUCGUGGCUGGGUGUUUGUUAUAGCAUGCUGACCCUAGACUUCUACAGCAUUAUUGUCAUCCUCUUCUUCUUUUUUUUUUUCUUUCUAAUUUCUCAUUUGAUUCUUUUCCUUUUCAGGUGAGGGAAAGGAUUAGAUUAUGCACAAUAUUGUCUAAAGAACAUAUAUUUAUCGUYCACAGAACAGCUGCUAGACAAGAUGUGUAUGACACUGGGUGGUCACGUGUCAGAGAAGAUAUAUUUUGGUCCCAUCACCACAGGAGCUCAGGAUGUAAAAAAUCGAAUGGUGAAAAUUUCGAAUAGUUCAGGUUAAAAAUCGAAUGGUGAAAAGUUCGAAUAGUUCAGGUUAAAAAUCGAAUGGUGAAAANUUCGAAUAGUUCAGGUUAAAAAUCGAAUGGUGAAAAGUUCGAAUAGUUCAGGUUAAAAAUCGAAUGGUGAAAAUUUCGAAUAGUUCAGGUUAAAAAUCGAAUGGUGAAAAGUUCGAAUAAUUCAGGUUAAAAAUCGAAUGGUGAAAAUUUCGAAUAGCUCAGGUUAAAAAUGGAAUGGUGAAAAGUUCGAAUAGUUCAGGUUAAAAAUGGAAUGAUGAAAAUUUCGAAUAGUUCAGGUUAAAAAUCGAAUGGUGAAAAUUUCGAAUGGUUCAGGUUAAAAAUCGAAUGGUGAAAAGUUCGAAUAGUUCAGGUUAAAAAUCGAAUGGUGAAAAGUUCGAAUAGUUCAGGUUAAAAAUGGAAUGAUGAAAAUUUCGAAUAGUUCAGGUUAAAAAUGGAAUGAUGAAAAUUUCGAAUAGUUCAGGUUAAAAAUCGAAUUAUUGACAAAUCGAAUAACUGAGGUUAAAAAUAGAAUGAUGAAAAUUUUGAAUACCUAAUAAAUUAAAUAGCUCAAACAAUUGGAUUUAUUGGGUUGGUAACAUAUUUCAUUUUCUGCUAUGUUUGUAAUGACAGAUGUACCCCUUCCACAGACUCGAAAUAAAGUGUUGAUUUGUGUGGUAUCUUGGUGGAAAACCACUUGAAGCAGAGAAGACCAUAUCGUGUAUGAGUAUCCAUGCUGCCACUAAAAGCAGGUGAUCGGCAUGAAGAAUGGCAGAAUAAACGACAASAGAAAUCAAGACAA